AUUGAACGCUGGCGGCAGGCCUAACACAUGCAAGUCGAGCGGAUGAAGUGAGCUUGCUUCUGGAUUCAGCGGCGGACGUGUGAGUAAUGCCUAGGAAUCUGCCUGGUAGUGGGGGAUAACGUCCGGAAACGGGCGCUAAUACCGCAUACGUCCUGAGGGAGAAAGUGGGGGAUCUUGUGACCUAACGCUAUCAGAUGAGCCUAGGUCGGAUUAGCUAGUUGGGGGGGUAAAGGCCUACCAAGGCGACGAUCCGUAACUGGUCUGAGAGGAUGAUCAGUCACACUGGAACUGAGACACGGUCCAGACUCCUACGGGAGGGAGCAGUGGGGAAUAUUGGACAAUGGGCGAAAGCCUGAUCCAGCCAUGCCGCGUGUGUGAAGAAGGUCUUCGGAUUGUAAAGCACUUUAAGUUGGGAGGAAGGGCAGUAAGUUAAUACCUUGCUGUUUUGACGUUACCAACAGAAUAAGCACCGGCUAACUUCGUG
rnacentral:rRNA from 1 species